rnacentral:rRNA from 1 species
ACGGGGUGCAGCAGGCGCGAAACCUUUACACUGCACGCCAGUGCGAUAAGGGAAUCCCAAGUGCGCAGGCAUAGAGCCUGCGCUUUUGUCCACCGUAGGGGAGGUGGAGAAUAAGGGCUGGGCAAGACCGGUGCCAGCCGCCGCGGUAAUACCGGCAGCCCGAGUGAUGGCCGAUCUUAUUGGGCCUAAAGCGUCCGUAGCUGGCCGCACAAGUCCAUCGGAAAAUCCACCCGCUCAACGGGUGGGCGUCCGGUGGAAACUGUGUGGCUUGGGACCGGAAGGCGCGACGGGUACGUCCGGGGUAGGAGUGAAAUCCCGUAAUCCUGGACGGACCGCCGAUGGCGAAAGCACGUCGCGAGGACGGAUCCGACAGUGAGGGACGAAAGCCAGGGUCUCGAACCGGAUUAGAUACCCGGGUAGUCCUGGCCGUAAACAAUGUCUGUUAGGUGUGGCUCCCACUACGAGUGGGUGCUGUGCCGCAGGGAAGCCGCUAAACAGACCGCCUGGGAAGUACGUCCGCAAGGAUGAAACUUAAAGGAAUUGGCG